UUUAGAGUUUGAAUCCUGGCUCAGGACGAACGCNGGCGGCGUGCUUAACACAUGCAAGUCGAACGAUGAAGCCUUUCGGGGUGGAUUAGUGGCGAACGGGUGAGUAACACGUGGGCAAUCUGCCCUUCACUCUGGGACAAGCCCUGGAAACGGGGUCUAAUACCGGAUAACACUCUGUCCCGCAUGGGACGGGGUUAAAAGCUCCGGCGGUGAAGGAUGAGCCCGCGGCCUAUCAGCUUGUUGGUGGGGUGAUGGCCUACCAAGGCGACGACGGGUAGCCGGCCUGAGAGGGCGACCGGCCACACUGGGACUGAGACACGGCCCAGACUCCUACGGGAGGCAGCAGUGGGGAAUAUUGCACAAUGGGCGAAAGCCUGAUGCAGCGACGCCGCGUGAGGGAUGACGGCCUUCGGGUUGUAAACCUCUUUCAGCAGGGAAGAAGCGAAAUGACGU
rnacentral:rRNA from 1 species